UUAUAAAUAUAAAUUUUUAGUGAUUAGUGAAGAAUCGUAAUAUAUGAUUUGGAUAUUAUUGAUUAUUGAUUUCGUGAUUGAAUAUAGUGUUUUUAAGGAUGGAAUGUGAUCAUAUUUUGAUUUCAAAAACGACAUAGAUUCCUUAUUUUUGUUUAACGGUUUAGAUUGAACGGAAUUAAUUUUAUUGAACAGUUUAGAUUGAAUCGGAUCAUAUAAAGUUUAGAAGAUUGUUAAGACCAAUUUACCCUUAAUGAUUUUGAAUAGCAAAGAAUAAAAUCUAAAAUUGAAAUCAAAAUUGAAGCCAAAUUAGACAAAACUUCGAUUCGUACUUCCCUUUUAAUAAUAAAGAGAUAUACUUGGUUAAUUGUUUUCUAUUGAUAUCAUCUAAUUCUCAACCUCUUUUUAAUUUUUGUAAGUAGUAAUGAACUUGACUCCAUAUGGAAAAAGUGCUCAUUUUUCUUAUAUAUAA
rnacentral:sRNA from 1 species